rnacentral:rRNA from 1 species
GACGAACGCUGGCGGCGUGCCUAAUACAUGCAAGUCGAACGCAGUGGGGACGGGUGAGUAACACGUGGGUAACCUCCCAUCAGAGGGGAUAACACUUGGAAACAGGUGCUAAACCGAUACUGAUGGAUGGACCCGCGGUGCAUUAGCUAGUAGGUGGGGUAAAGGCUCACCUAGGCGACGAUCUCUAGCGGGUCUGAGAGGAUGAGCAGCAACACUGGGACUGAGACACGGCCCAGACUCCUACGGGAGGCAGCAGUGGGGAAUAUUGGACAAUGGGCGCAAGCCUGAUGCAGCCAUGCCGCGUGUAUGAAGAAGGCCUUAGGGUUGUAAAGUACUUUCAGCGGGGAGGCGUUACCCGCAGAAGAAGCACCGGCUAACUCCGUGCCAGCAGCCGCGGUAAUAC